rnacentral:rRNA from 1 species
AUUGAACGCUGGCGGCGUGCCUAAUACAUGCAAGUAGAACGCAGUUGCGAACGGGUGAGUAACGCGUAGGUAACUGCCUCAUAGCGGGGGAAAACUAUUGGAAACGAUAGCUAAUACCGCAUACUGGGAGACGGACCUGCGUUGUAUUAGCUAGGUGGUGAGGUAAAGGCUAACCAAGGCGACGAUACAUAGCCGACCUGAGAGGGUGAUCGGCCCCCCGGGGACUUGAGACCGGCCCAGACUCCUACGGGAGGCAGCAGUAGGGAAUCUUCGGAAAUGGACGGAAGUCUGACCGAGCCACGCCGCGUGAGUGGAGAAGGUUUUCGGAUCGUAAAGCUCUGUUGUUCGAGAAGCGGUAACUACCCAGAAAGGGACGGCUAACUACGUGCCAGCAGCCGCGGUAAUAC